CUCUCCGUGUCUCUCUCGCAGCCGCUGCUAAAGUACCCGUCGUGCACGUCACCUUCGAGCUACCACCGUAUUGACUGCCUUUCAUAGCCGAGUCAGGCGAGGGAGGGAGGGAGGGAGGGAGGGAGGGGUGGGUGCAGCACUAAAACGGGGCACCACCUCUCCGUUCGUCCCCUAAAGCGUCGGCGCGGGUUCGAGAUCGUCUGCGAGAGUCGUUCACAAAUCUGCCUUCUUCGUGUCUGUGAUGGAUGCCCGUCAUCGACAGUGUGUCGGCUUCCUUUCCUCUCCCCCGGUCAAGUGAGUCUGUGUGUGUUUGACGCCUGCUACAUAUUUUUUAGUGGCAAAUUUUUUUUCGUUUCUGCAACGCUCGUUUCUGUGGCCAUCUCGCACUGGGCGGCGUUGUAGGUCGCUGCACCAGGUUAAGCUCAUCACCACAUCUCAUCGCCGGUGCCCGCGCUGAUAUGUUCGCGCCGAUGCUUUUGCAGGACAGUAAGGCAAGGCGGACUCGCGGCAACGCGGACGAGUCUACCGAGAAGAAUGUCAUCAUUCGUGCGGCGGACUCCCUGGCAUACCGCCGCAGCGUGCAGCUCUUCUUCGUGAACGAGGAUGGCCAAUUUCUCAUCGGUUGCCCCGUCGGUGAGUCGAACAGGUAUUACCGACAAACCGUGCAGGGCGGGAGUGUGGAGGGCGAGACGCCGAUGCAGACGGCGGCCAACGAGGCAUGGGAGGAGAUCGGACUUGACCUGGCCAAGGACGCGACCUUCCUGUUGGAGGUGCUUCCGCCCCCCACCUCUCUUUCAGGCAGCUGUGACUCGGCAGGAAUACUGGCCGUGCCGCAGGAUAACAACGGCGUGCUGAACAGCAGCGGGGAGAUCGUCUCUGAGUACCGGGCAACAUUUCGAUACCGCACAAAGCAGUGGCGCAAGAAGGGUAUCCAUGGUCAGGAAAUGUACCCGUUUCUGUUUUUUCUGCCGCGGGAUCACAUCAGCCAACUCGACGUGCAGGCGAGGAAGCGUGGGGUGCGCCAAGAGUUCAAGCUGCUGUACUGGGGACCUCUCUGUGUCCUGGAGGAUCAGGCGCCGCCCGUGAAGAAGCAGGUCAUGUCAGUGAUUUGCCCCGCUGUGGCGGCAGCGGCUCUGCCGCUUCUGCAAUGCUGGAGAUACCCGCUGGACGGCAUCGCCGCAUACGUAUCGUAGCGUUUGUUUGUAGAUGCUGCCGCGAAAGGCAACCACAUGGCUAACUUGACAAAAAGGCCCGAUUUCAGCCCACUUUACUUUUUCUUUGGUGGUGGUUGAGUGGAGGGGAGGGCGGCUGUUCGCUCAUAGCGGAGACCGUAAACGUGAGAGCGUGUGUGCUCUCUCACUACUUGGGUGCGUCAUUUCUACUCUCCCCAAGCAUACGCGGCAAUGUCCUGCAGGGUGGCGGUGGGCAUAGUAGAUACUCGGCGCUCGACCUAUGGAGCACGUUGUACUCCCCCCAACCUUGAGGUAUGCACCUUAUAUACACCAUGCUUCUCUUUCCCCGUCCUUCGAGUCUAUCCAUGUAACGUCGAGUGCUCAAAAUGAGCACCGACACGCACAAUACAUCAACUGUGUACCAG
rnacentral:misc_RNA from 1 species